rnacentral:rRNA from 1 species
ACUCUACUGGAGGCAGCGGUGGGGAAUUUUGGACAAUGGGCGAAAGCCUGAUCCAGCCAUGCCGCGUGAGUGAAGAAGGCCUUCGGGUUGUAAAGCUCUUUCGGCUGGGAAGAAAUCGCACAGGCUAAUACUCUGUGUGGAUGACGGUACCAGCACAAGAAGCACCGGCUAACUACGUGCCAGCAGCCGCGGUAAUAC